GGAUUGCCCUAGUAACGGCGAGUGAAGCGGCAACAGCUCAAAUUUGAAAUCUGGCUCCUUCCGGGGUCCGAGUUGUAAUUUGUAGAGGGUGCUUUGGCGUCGGCCAUGGUCUAAGUUCCUUGGAACAGGGCGUCACAGAGGGUGAGAAUCCCGUACGUGGCCGCUGGCCUUCGCCAUGUAAAGCCCCUUCGACGAGUCGAGUUGUUUGGGAAUGCAGCUCUAAAUGGGAGGUAAAUUUCUUCUAAAGCUAAAUAUUGGCCAGAGACCGAUAGCGCACAAGUAGAGUGAUCGAAAGAUGAAAAGCACUUUGGAAAGAGAGUCAAAAAGCACGUGAAAUUGUUGAAAGGGAAGCGCUUGCAGCCAGACUUGCCCGUAGUUGCUCAUCCGGGUUUCGGCCCGGUGCUCUCUUCUGCGGGCAGGCCAGCAUCAGUUCAGGCGGUCGGAUAAAGGUCCCGGGAAUGUGGCUCUCUUCGGGGAGUGUUAUAGCCCGGGGCGCAAUGCGGCCAGCUUGGACUGAGGUCCGCGCAUCUGCUAGGAUGCUGGCGUAAUGGCUGUAAGCGGCCCGUCUUGAAACACGGACCAAGGAGUCUAACAUCUAUGCGAGUGUUUGGGUGUCAAGCCCGAGCGCGUAAUGAAAGUGAACGGAGGUGGGAACCCGCAAGGGCGCACCAUCGACCGAUCCUGAUGUCUUCGGAUGGAUUUGAGUAAGAGCAUAGCUGUUGGGACCCGAAAGAUGGUGAACUAUGCCUGAAUAGGGUGAAGCCAGAGGAAACUCUGGUGGAGGCUCGCAGCGGUUCUGACGUGCAAAUCGAUCGUCAAAUUUGGGCAUAGGGGCGAAAGACUAAUCGAACUAUCUAGUAGCUGGUUCCUGCCGAAGUUUCCCUCAGGAUAGCAGUAACGUUUUCAGUUUUAUGAGGUAAAGCGAAUGAUUAGAGGCCUGGGGGUUGAAACAACCUUCACCUAUUCUCAAACUUUAAAUAUGUAAGAAGUCCUUGUUACUUAAUUGAACGUGGACAUUUGAAUGUACCGUUACUAGUGGGCCAUUUUUGGUAAGCAGAACUGGCGAUGCGGGAUGAACCGAACGCGGGGUUAAGGUGCCAGAAUGCACGCUCAUCAGACACCACAAAAGGUGUUAGUUCAUCUAGACAGCAGGACGGUGGCCAUGGAAGUCGGAAUCCGCUAAGGAGUGUGUAACAACUCACCUGCCGAAUGAACUAGCCCUGAAAAUGGAUGGCGCUCAAGCGUGCUACCCAUACCCCGCCGCCAGGGCACAUAUUAUGCCCUGGCGAGUAGGCAGGCGUGGAGGCUUGUGACGAAGC
rnacentral:rRNA from 1 species